GUCCAUUCCAAGUGCUCUUGACUAUGGCUACCUCGAUGAAACUAGAAGGAAAAGCCACGUGGAUACACGCCAGUCACUGUAAACAAGUCACUCCGACUGAUCCACUGACAUGAAGCUGUUCUUAUCCUUUACCAUUUUAUGCUCUGUUCGGAUAUGCUACUCUGACUUGAGACCAGAAAAUAAUAAUGCAUGGCAGGAAAAUAUAUGGUUGCAGAUAGCAAAGGCUUUUAAUUUAACCUCCUUUUGCCUCAACCCUCUCCUCAGUACUGAAAGCGCCAUAGAAUCUUGUCUUAUAGCUGUCCCUACCCCCAUCUCACUGUUGAGGAAGUACCUUGGUAGGAGUCCCAGGCUUAGCACUGUAUAAUUCCCGAGUAGUUAAUGCUGUAGCCUGUUCUCUUGCAAAAGGCUUAAAUGCCACUUCACAGGCCCCAGAAGAGCUACUUAUGGACAACCAGGCAAAUAAGAAGGCAAUCCUUGAGAAUAGAG